AUUGAACGCUGGCGGCAUGCCUUACACAUGCAAGUCGAACGGUAACGCGGGGCAACCUGGCGACGAGUGGCGAACGGGUGAGUAAUACAUCGGAACGUGCCCAGUAGUGGGGGAUAGCCCGGCGAAAGCCGGAUUAAUACCGCAUACGACCUACGGGUGAAAGCGGGGGAUCGCAAGACCUCGCGCUAUUGGAGCGGCCGAUGUCAGAUUAGCUAGUUGGUGGGGUAAAAGCCUACCAAGGCGACGAUCUGUAGCUGGUCUGAGAGGACGACCAGCCACACUGGGACUGAGACACGGCCCAGACUCCUACGGGAGGCAGCAGUGGGGAAUUUUGGACAAUGGGGGCAACCCUGAUCCAGCCAUGCCGCGUGCGGAAGAAGGCUCGGUGUAACG
rnacentral:rRNA from 1 species